GACAGAGGAUGCAAGCGUUAUCCGGAAUGAUUGGGCGUAAAGCGUCUGUAGGUGGCUUUUCAAGUCCGCCGUCAAAUCCCAGGGCUCAACCCUGGACAGGCGGUGGAAACUACCAAGCUGGAGUACGGUAGGGGCAGGAGGGAAUUUCCGGUGGAGCGGUGAAAUGCAUUGAGAUCGGAAAGAAACACCAGUGGCGAAGGCGACUUACUGGACUGUAACUGACGCUGAGGCAUGAAAGCGUGGGGAGCAAACAG
rnacentral:rRNA from 1 species